rnacentral:rRNA from 2 species
CGGACCUCAGAUCAGGCAAGACCACCCGCUGAGUUUAAGCAUAUCACUAAGCGGAGGAAAAGAAACUAACAAGGAUUUCCUUAGUAACGGCGAGCGAAU